CCUUAUCUCUAAAAGGAGAAUAUAAACAAAACAUAACUCACAUUUUAACAUAAAAUUAGAUUAGAUCAUACGUAAAAACUUUCAGAAACUAUGAAGUGAGUUGAAACAUCAGUGGUGAAUCACAGUCAACUGAUCAAAUAGAAAGACCUGUCAGACGCCGUUGUCAGUAUUAUCGCUUUUUUCUGUCCAUCCUCUCCCCCUGGGGAAAUACCCGCUCCCCAGCCCUGUGAGUUGGUUGUGGCCUUGCCUCUGCCUCAGCAGGGGACCUAGGGGCUCUGUCUCCUGGGAACCAAGGCACCAGGUCAUUGUGCGGUUGGGUGUCUAAUGGAGCCAUGCAGCUCCUUGUAACAAGCGGUCCUCGCUACCCGGUCUCUGCUGUCCCGAAGCCUGGCUGUUUGGCCUUCCCUUCAAGUCCAUGAACUGCCCAAGAGAUUUUCUCCUUUCUUUUGCUUAAGUCCACAGCUUUUAUUUCUUUGCUACUCCAAUCAUUAAUUGACCAAAGCUCUCCCCUGGGUUGAUUUUAAUUAAUCUUCUGCACUAUCCAUUGAGUUUUUAUAUAUUCAUUCUGCACAUACUUUUGAAGGUAUAAGAGCUAUGGUUUUCUGAUUUUGAGAACCUCAGUCUUCCCUCUAGACUCUGCGCUGUGGUGUGGAUGUCUCCAGCAAAACUCAUGUUGAAAUGUAAUCCCCAUUGUGAGGUCCUGAGAGGUUGGAAACUUAGUCCAAAUGUGGUAUUUGGAGGUGGGGCUUUGGGAAUGAUUAGGAUUCACUGAAGUCAUAAGGGUGAAAGCCCUGUGAUGUAGCAGGAGUGGCUUUGUAAGGGGAAGGGAGAGACCCGGGGCAGCCCAUUUUCUGUGCCUCACCAUGAUGCUCUGUGUCAUCACAGCCCAGAAGAAAGGCCCUCACUAGGUGCACGCCCGCACCAGCCCCAUGCUCAUGGCCCUCCAGAGCCACAUCAACCUCUGCUUUCUAAAACAACCAACUUAUCCCAUUUGAGGUACUCAGUUACAGUAACAGAAAGCAGGCUAAGACACUGCUUCCCAAGCCACCCCAGCUAGGGCCGGACAUAGUGUCACACGUCACGAGCACAGGAGCUGCAGCAGUGAGCAAAGUAGACUGGCAGCGCCUCCUCAAAACCCUUGAGGUCACGGAGCCAGGAACCUGCAAUGCACAGCACACGCCAUAGUGGUUCCAAGUAGGUUGCCCGGGAUGCCACCGGAACGCCCCAGAGAGAACGCGUUCCAGGAAUCCCAUUGUGGGGUGGCUGGGCUUAGGGGGGCCUUCUCGGGGACUUGGGGCUGCCACUGCUUACCAGAGGGUGUGCCAGAGAACACUGAGGUGAGGGCUGGAACUGAAACAGCAAAGAUGCUGCAGUCAUAGCGAGCACAGCUUUUAAUAGCACGAGCAGUAGGCAGACUGGGGAGGCAGGAGGACUCCCGUGCGUCCAGAGCUUCACAAUCAGAAAUGCCCUCUUGGUGAAGCACGAAGGUGAGGCCCGCAUGGAAACAGCCUCAUUUACUGGUUCCAGUAACCAGCUGAAGAAACCAUUCUGCAGUGUUCCUCAACCGUGAGAGCUAUUAGAAACAUCUGGAGCAAUUUAAAAAUUUCUGAUACUCUGAUUACAAGCCCAAGAAUUAAAUCAGAAUCUCUGAGAGUGGACAGCAUCCUUAGUAGCUGCUAAGAUUGAGAACCAGUGUGUCAAGUUUGGGGGUGUGUGCUCACAUCACUACAUUCAAUCUCAUCCAACCUUACAUUUGUGUUCCUUGGUUUGGUCUACGCACCCCUCUGUCGGAGUCAAUUUUGUUUCUAUACCAGAUUGUCAGUUUCGGGGCUUAUUGUUCUGGUGAAGCUGUUAUCAUCUGAAGAGGCUUGAAGACAGAAAGGCAGGAGCAGAAAUCUGUGUCUUAACGCAGUUUAAGAGUGGGAGAGAGAGAAGCACCUGCUGCAAACCCUUCUCUAUCACCUGUUGCAAUCAGCAUUCACCUCCCCACACCACUCUGCUGGGGAUUAACUUCCCAACACCAGAAAAAGGAGCACUCAAGCCACAGCACCAUGGGCCCCAGAAUCCUGCUUAUUAUGGACUGAUCUGUCACCCUCACCCCACCCAGAGUUGUAUGCUGAAAUUCUAUCCACCACCUCAGAAUAUGAUUGAUUGUAUUUGGAAAUAGGGCCCUUAAGAAGCCUCUACAGGGAAAAUGAGGUCAUAAUGUGAUACUACAUGAUCUGAUACUGGUGAUACUGAUCCAAUAUGCCUGAUGUACCUAUAUAAAGAGGAGAUUAGGGCACCUUCAAGUACAGAGGAAAUAUCACAUGAUGAAAUACAGAAAAUGCCCAUUUGUAGGUCAAGGAAAGAGGCCUUAAAAUGAAAUCAACCUGCCUACACCUUAAACUUCUAGGCUCCAGAACUUGGAGAAAGUAAAUGUCUAUCAAGUCCCCAAGUCUACAUUAUUUGUUACAGCAGCCCUGGCAAACUGAUACUAUUCCUAAAAAAUUGCAAGAUUUUGUAGCUCCUCUAGUGAAUGAAC